rnacentral:lncRNA from 1 species
UGCGUGUUUCAUGUCCUUGGGCCUCAUGAAGGAAAUAAAAACUUCCGUGGUUUCUGACCUUCCCACAAAUCUGAUUUUAGGAAUUGAAAAUUUAGGUGAAAAAUCUUCCAGAGUCGCAAAAUGAUGAGGAUUUUCCCACAAGAACAUUUUAAAAGUGUCUUAAGAGACAAAGUCAUAUGGUGAUUUUGAAAAAUGCCUGUUACCCUCUACAAAUUUCCCAAACAAGAUGAAAAAAAAUUAAAACAUGGCAAAUACCUAUUUAAGGACCUAAUAAGGUAAUACAACUAUUUUAAGGAUAAACAACACCAUUUACCCUUUCUGAUUAAAGACGUUAUAAACCUAUAAAAUUUAAAAAUCAUAAAACCAUAUAAAGACAAGCUAAAUUGUCGCUCUCU